rnacentral:lncRNA from 1 species
UGUAGAAACUUCGCUGUGUUAGUAGAUCUUCAUAUUUUGCCUCAAGGUUCAAGAAAAUCACCAGCUGGUUUUCAGAAUAGAAAAAAAGGAUAUAGGCUUCGCAUAACAGCUUAUUUCAUCAAAAGAGAGAUUCACCUUCAUUGUAUUGUGGGGAAGCCGAGUUAUGAUGUCUCUGCUAUAUACUUGGCCCUGUCUCAUAGCAUUUGGCAGUGAGAGAGAAAGAGGUACUCUAAGCAGGAGAAUGGCAUGGACAGGCAACUCCUAUACUGCUGCUGGAGAGAAGAUGUGCAAUGGCAACACAAUUAAACCAGAGAAUGGAACAUUGAUACUGUCUUUACUUUUAAUAGUGCCCUUCUUUUUGAAACUUCAGCCCUCAAAACUCACUAAUUGUAGAAUGCUAUUUACAGAGUGGUAUAGUAAAUUGAGUUCCUGUUUUGGAAUGAGGAAAACAUAGGUUUCUGCUCUGCUGUGGACAUGUACUGGGACAUAUAGAUCUACUGGACAAGUCACUCUCUUAACAUUUUAGUAUCCCAGGCUACUCUCCAAGAUGGUAAGUUGAAGAGCAG